GAUCAUGGCUCAGAUUGAACGCUGGCGGCAUGCCUUACACAUGCAAGUCGAACGGCAGCACGGGAGCUUGCUCCUGGUGGCGAGUGGCGAACGGGUGAGUAAUACAUCGGAACGUACCCCGAAGUGGGGGAUAACGUAGCGAAAGUUACGCUAAUACCGCAUAUUCUGUGAGCAGGAAAGAGGGGGAUCGCAAGACCUCUUGCUUUAGGAGCGGCCGAUGUCGGAUUAGCUAGUUGGUGAGGUAAAGGCUCACCAAGGCGACGAUCCGUAGCGGGUCUGAGAGGAUGAUCCGCCACACUGGGACUGAGACACGGCCCAGACUCCUACGGGAGGCAGCAGUGGGGAAUUUUGGACAAUGGGCGCAAGCCUGAUCCAGCCAUGCCGCGUGAGUGAAGAAGGCCUUCGGGUUGUAAAGCUCUUUCGGUGGGGAAGAAAUUGCACAGGAUAAUACCUUGUGUAGAUGACGGUACCCGCAUAAGAAGCACCGGCUAACUACGUG
rnacentral:rRNA from 1 species